GGAAGGGUGACAGAGAGGUCGAAUGUGACGGUCUCGAAAACCGUUGUGCGUUCUACGUACCGUGGGUUCGAAUCCCACCCCUUCCGCCA
rnacentral:tRNA from 1 species